rnacentral:misc_RNA from 1 species
GUGAAUCAUCAAAUCUUUGAACGCAAAUUGCACUUUCUGGUAUUCCGGAAAGUAUGCCUGUUUGAGGGUCAGUUAAAUAAAAAUCGGUGUUGUUGGUGCUUUUUUUGGUGGCGUGUCGGAUUGGAGUUGUCUUACCUUCGGUUAUGUUACUUAAAAUUAUGCAUGUUUUUCGAACGUCUUUAAAUUUCUUACGUACGUUUGUGUUAUCGAAUACUUUAUUAGGUUCGAUCAUCUUCAUGAUUUGCACCUAUAAUUUUUUAUUAAAUUACCUCAAAUCAGGUAAUAAUAUCCCCUGAACUUA